rnacentral:rRNA from 1 species
CGGGUGAGUAAUGUCUGGGAAACUGCCUGAUGGAGGGGGAUAACUGCUGGAAACGGUAGCUAAUACCGCAUAACGUCGCAAGACCAAAGAGGGGGACCGUUCGGGCCUCUUGCCAUCGGAUGUGCCCAGAUGGGAUUAGCUAGUAGGUGGGGUAACGGCUCACCUAGGCGACGAUCCCUAGCUGGUCUGAGAGGAUGACCAGCCACACUGGAACUGAGACACGGUCCAG